UACGGGGGGGGUAAGCGUUGUUCGGAAUUACUGGGCGUAAAGGGCUCGUAGGCGGCCAACUAAGUCAUACGUGAAACCCCUCAGCUUAACUGGGGAACUGCGUGUGAUACUGGAUGGCUUGGAUUUGGGAGAGGGAUGCGGAAUUCCAGGUGUAGCGGUGAAAUGCGUAGAUAUCUGGAGGAACACCGGUGGCGAAGGCGGCAUCCUGGACCGACACUGACGCUGAGGAGCGAAAGCCAGGGGAGCAAACGGG
rnacentral:rRNA from 1 species